rnacentral:rRNA from 1 species
AUACGGAGGGGGUUAGCGUUGUUCGGAAUUACUGGGCGUAAAGCGUACGUAGGCGGAUUAGUAAGUUAGGGGUGAAAUCCCGAGGCUCAACCUCGGAACUGCCUCUAAAACUGCUAGUCUUGAGUUCGAGAGAGGUGAGUGGAAUUCCUAGUGUAGAGGUGAAAUUCGUAGAUAUUAGGAGGAACACCAGUGGCGAAGGCGGCUCACUGGCUCGAUACUGACGCUGAGGUACGAAAGUGUGGGGAGCAAACAGCAUUAGAAACCCCAGUAGUCC